AAAAACAGACUUUUGAGAUUAACUGUUUUUUUACGUAGUUAACUUUUGAGAAAGUAAAACUUUCCUUACAGUAGUUUUACAAAUUCAUUUUGGCUUUCUUUAC